UACGUAGGGUCCGAGCGUUGUCCGGAAUUAUUGGGCGUAAAGGGCUCGUAGGCGGUUUGUCGCGUCGGGUGUGAAAUCCCCCGGCUUAACCUGGGAACUGCGUCUGAUACUGGAAGGCUUGAGUAUGGGAGAGGGAUGUAGAAUUCCAGGUGUAGCGGUGAAAUGCGUAGAUAUCUGGAGGAAUACCGGUGGCGAAGGCGGCAUCCUGGACCAUUACUGACGCUGAGGCGCGAAAGCUAGGGGAGCAAAGCAGGGG
rnacentral:rRNA from 1 species